CUACGGGAGGCAGCAGUGGGGAAUAUUGCACAAUGGGCGCAAGCCUGAUGCAGCAAUACCGCGUGUGUGAAGAAGGCCUGCGGGUUGUAAAGCACUUUCAAUAGUGAAGAAAAGCCUGGUGUUAAUACCACUGGGUCUUGACGUUAACUAUACAAGAAGCACCGGCUAACUCCGUGCCAGCAGCCGCGGUAAUACGGAGGGUGCAAGCGUUAAUCGGAAUUACUGGGCGUAAAGCGUGCGUAGGCGGCUUAUUAAGUCAGAUGUGAAAGCCCCGGGCUUAACCUGGGAACUGCAUUUGAUACUGGUAAGCUAGAGUAUGGUAGAGGGGGGUAGAAUUCCUAGUGUAGCGGUGAAAUGCGUAGAUAUUAGGAGGAAUACCAGUGGCGAAGGCGGCCCCCUGGACCAAUACUGACGCUGAGGUACGAAAGCGUGGGUAGCGAACAGGAUUAGAUACCCUGGUAGUCCACGCUGUAAACGAUGUCAACUAGCCGUCGGGAUCUUAAGGUUUCGGUGGUGCAGCUAACGCGUGAAGUUGACCGCCUGGGGAGUACGGUCGCAAGAUUAAAACUCAAAU
rnacentral:rRNA from 1 species